rnacentral:rRNA from 1 species
CUGAGAGGUUAACCCCCCACACUGGUACUGAGACACGGACCAGACUCCUACGGGAGGCAGCAGUGAGGAAUAUUGGUCAAUGGACGCAAGUCUGAACCAGCCAUGCCGCGUGCAGGAUGACGGCUCUAUGAGUUGAAAACUGCUUUUGUACGAGGGUAAACGCAGAUACGUGUAUCUGUCUGAAAGUAUCGUACGAAUAAGGA